rnacentral:rRNA from 1 species
GACGAACGCUGGCGGCGUGCUUAACACAUGCAAGUCGAACGAUGAAGCCGGAGCUUGCUCUGGUGAAUUAGUGGCGAACGGGUGAGUAACACGUGAGUAACCUACCCUUGACUCUAGGAUAACUGCGGGAAACUGUAGCUAAUACCGGAUACGACCCUCGGAGGCAUCUCCUGGGGGUGGAAAGAAUUUCGGUCAAGGAUGGACUCGCGGCCUAUCAGCUAGUUGGUGAGGUAAAGGCUCACCAAGGCGACGACGGGUAGCCGGCCUGAGAGGGUGACCGGCCACACUGGGACUGAGACACGGCCCAGACUCCUACGGGAGGCAGCAGUGGGGAAUAUUGCACAAUGGGCGCAAGCCUGAUGCAGCAACGCCGCGUGAGGGAUGACGGCCUUCGGGUUGUAAACCUCUUUUAGCAGGGAAGAAGCGAAAGUGACGGUACCUGCAGAAAAAGCACCGGCUAACUACGUGCCAGCCGCCGCGGUAA